GUGCAUGUGAUGAGUUACUCGGAUUCCCCUUCAAGACUUCUUGGAUGAUGUAGACCCGAGAUACUGACUGAUGCA
rfam:Medicago truncatula strain A17 chromosome 6, whole genome shotgun sequence.